UAUUUAUUUUCAUUUGGUUUUCAUAUUUCUAAAGCAGCAGUCGUCACAAAAUGAAUCUCACAAAUUAUAUUUUACUAAUUUCAACCAUAAGCAUGGCAGCGAUUAUACUCCCUAUUAUAAAACCUUUUGGAUUUGGUUUUCUAUGGUUUGGAAGAUAAAAGGCAAGGUUAUCCGUUAAACAAAGAUAGACAAAAUGCAAAUUUUAUUUGUUGGCUUUAUAGAGCUACGGAUGCAUUUUAUUCUAGGCGCUUCAAUUAUCAGUUUAAAACAAAUCUGAAUAAAGAAAGAAAAGCGAACCUGCCCAUACAA